UAAGUUGUUUGUAGUGAUAGAGAGAGA
rnacentral:sRNA from 1 species